CCGAGGGAUGCGGGAUGCGCCGGGAGGUGCCAGGAUGCGCGGCGCUGCAGGCGCGGCCCAGGGCCCCUCAGGGGUCGCGUCACCGCGCAGGCGAAGCCAGGAGCUGGAUCGCCUAUGCCUCCCGCCUUGCGGAAGGGCUCUGGCUUUCUGCAGAUUCUUCUCAAGGGAGGCUGUGACCCAAAAGAUUUGGAGCUGAUGCUGAACAACCUUAGGUUACAGGAGGGGGUCUGGGGACCUCAGAGUGGAGAAGAAGCUGGUUCAAAGUCACCUGGAAAUUUAGCAGCAAGUUGGAAAGAAGAACUCAAGACUCCAGACUGUACAAUGCUAUUUAAUGUCUGACUAAAGGUCACCUCCUCCGAGAAGCCUUCCUUGAACUCAUCCCAUCUUCUGCGUUACAUUGCAUAUACCUUGACUGCUGCAAAGUCUCUUCAGUCGUGUCCGACUCUGUGCAACCCCAUAGACGGCAGCCCACCAGGCUCCCCUGUCCCUGGGAUUCUCCAGGCAAGAACACUGGAAUGGAAAAAAAAAACAUCUCCUGGAGCUCAAAGCAGCUUGUCCAAGUUCCCCCAGGGAGUGAGUGGCAGAGCUGGGGUUUGAAUCCAAAAUGGUUUUGCACCUCCUAUACCGCCAGUGCUGCCGUGGUGUUUGUUCAGCAUCCAGCUGAGGGCAGCAUGGCCCUCACGGAGGCCCUCUCAACUGGGCUGUGGAGCAGCUGGAAGUACAGAGCCCAGCUCCCCCACCAUCCUGGGAGAAAGAAAUUGCAAAGAGGGGAAAAGAAUUUGACCUUCAUGGAGCUCACAAUCCACUGGAGAGAUGGCUCAGACACCAGUGGAGGAGCCAAUAGAACAAAUGCAGUCCAUCACGAAAACUCUUUUAAAAAUGUAUUGUGUGUAGGAAUGACAACCCUCAUAGAAAAUCCCAGGAUUUUCUCUUCUGUGUGUUUCCGUCUCGCUUCCUUGCAGCCAUGAUACUAGCUGAGGUCAUUGGUGCAAUGAGAUGAAAGAAGAUGAUUCUGUCACUUUUCUAGAUCUUUGAGUGAUACGUCAAGUUCAAGGCUAAUCACAUUUAUUUAACCUGUGUGUGAGUUUCGCAAUGAAGUUCUUGCUCUGUGAUCAUCAAUGAUUUCCAGUUCGCCGAUGUAGCCAUGCUUCAUCAUCACAAUAGAAAUCAUGUAAACCUUUCAAGGAAAGUCUUCCACUACAACAAACAACAAUUAAAAGCCAGAUGAUGACUUCG